rnacentral:rRNA from 1 species
AUGGGCCAUGGACUGCUAGGCGAGGAUGAUGAUAUUGAAAGAACUUACUUGAGAGGAUAUACUAUUGUUGAAAUUUUGAAAAGAUCAUUCUUGAUUGAAUCCUCUGAAAAAUGGGACAAAUGUGUGAAAAUGCACCAUGUUGUUCAAGAUCUGGCCUUGUGGAUUGUAGCGACAAAACAGAACGGGACGCAUAAAGAGAAGUGGCUGGUGGACCAAAGAGAACACACCCGACCAGAGGUUUGGAGCACCGCUGAUAGAAUUUUCCUCUUUGGUGAUGAUAUCAAGACAAUUCCUAGUUCUUGCAGCUGCCCUGACUUAUUAACAUUAAUGCUAGUAAACAAUGAGCAUAUUUCUGAGUUCCCAGCUGAUUUUUUCUCUACCAUGAAAUCACUCAUUUAUUUGGACCUUUCUGGAAUACAGAUCCAAGAAACACCACCAGAAAUCGGAGCAUUAACAAGCUUGCAGUUCCUUGACCUUUCUCGGACACCAAUACAUUCACUGCCAGUGGGUCUGGGACUGUUGGAAAAUCUAAGGUACUUAUAUUUGCAGUGCACUUUCAGUCUCAAAAAUAUAUCAAAUGGUUUGCUAUCUAGACAGAAGAUGUUAAGGUGGUUAGAUUUAUAUCGAUGUCAUGAUUUGGCAAUUGAUUACUCAGCACGAUAUAUCGAAGAACUCAAAAGUUUAACUAGGCUAAGGGAUAUUGGCUUUACAGUACAAGAUUCAGACUCCAUGUUGAAGAUCUGUAACUUGCCCAAAGCCUUUGUAAGCUACCGAGUAUAUCCAUCUCUCAUUGCAGCAACCUGA